rnacentral:rRNA from 1 species
CUACGGAGGGUGCAAGCGUUAUUCGGAAUCGCUGGGCGUAAAGGACGCGUAGGCGGGUUGGCAAGUCAGAUGUGAAAUCCUACAGCUUAACUGUAGAACUGCAUUUGAAACUGCUAACCUAGAGUAUGGGAGGGGGAGAUGGAAUUAGUGGUGUAGGGGUAAAAUCCGUAGAUAUCACUAGGAAUACCGAAAGCGAAGGCGAUCUCCUGGAACAUAACUGACGCUAAGGCGUGAAAGCGUGGGGAGCAAACAGGAUUAGAAACCCUUGUAGUCC